rnacentral:hammerhead_ribozyme from 1 species
AUCUAGCUGAUGAAUCCCAAAUAGAACGAAACAUACAUCCUGUAU